rnacentral:rRNA from 1 species
CAGCAGCCGCGGGAAUACGUAGGGUGCGAGCGUUAAUCGGAAUUACUGGGCGUAAAGCGUGCGCAGGCGGUUCGUUAAGUCUGUUGUGAAAGCCCCGGGCUCAACCUGGGAAUGGCAGUGGAUACUGGCUCGCUAGAGUGUGUCAGAGGAUGGUGGAAUUCCCGGUGUAGCGGUGAAAUGCGUAGAGAUCGGGAGGAACAUCAGUGGCGAAGGCGGCCAUCUGGGACAACACUGACGCUGAGGCACGAAAGCGUGGGGAGCAAACAGGAUUAGAUACCCCCGUAGUCCCUGUCUCUUAUAC